UGGGGAAUCUUGCGCAAUGGGCGAAAGCCUGACGCAGCGACGCCGCGUGAGCGAUGAAGGCCUUCGGGUUGUAAAGCUCUGUGGGGAGGAACGAAUAAGGGUUGGCUAAUAUCCAACCUGAUGACGGUACCUCCUUAGCAAGCACCGGCUAACUCUGUGCCAGCAGCCGCGGUAAUACAGAGGGUGCAAACGUUGUUCGGAAUUACUGGGCGUAAAGCGCGUGUAGGCGGCCUCGUGUGUCGGGCGUGAAAUCCCACGGCUCAACCGUGGAAGUGCACUCGAAACUGCAAGGCUGGAGUACUGGAGAGGAUGGUGGAAUGCUCGGUGUAGAGGUGAAAUUCGUAGAUAUCGAGCGGAACACCGGUGGCGAAGGCGGCCAUCUGGACAGUCACUGACGCUGAGACGCGAAAGCGUGGGGAGCAAACAG
rnacentral:rRNA from 1 species